UGCUUAAGAAGUUUGCAGGAUUGUGA
rnacentral:piRNA from 1 species